GGGGCAUCCCAAUCCCAAAGUUCGCCCAUCGCUACGCCUAGUUCUUUUUACAGGGGUUCUAGCUGUCCUUCGUUCUGAUGCUGUACUUCGAAACGUUCAACGACUUACUCAUGAUGUCACACGAGUAUCACCUCCGUCUGGUGCAGCCGAGGUGGGUCGAGCGCCGGCAGGCAUCCCCGUAGGCGCCGCUCAGCCUCGACGAGUACCCCUUCUUGUGGGAGUAGGUGGCGACGUAGUUCCACGUGCGGCUCCGCUGCCCGUUACUGUUCUAGUUCCGAUAGUAUGGCGAUGAGCUUCCUUUGCAGCCAGAGUAGAAGUGGUUCCGACUGAAGUUCUUCCAAGCGCUCCUCCAGCGGUUCAUGUUCCAACCCCGGGGACGAGCACAACCCGACCAACGAGGAUAACUACACCACGAAGGGGGACCGUUGUGACCAGACCUAGGGAGGGUUUGAAGAAAGAAGGUCUACUCUUGGUAACCACUAUUGUGACGUCACAUGAGUCACGAUUCGUUCUCAAGAGUGGGUACGGCACAAAAAAAGAGUAAGUCCACGAAUUGUAGGGGUGGUUCUAGUUAUUCCCGUGACAACUUUAGGACCGGGACCACCUGUAGUGGUUCUUCCCACUGUUCCACCCGAGCAGGCUCCGACGGGACGAACGGUUCGAGCCAUAGGCGGGUAAGAGGAUACCCGAACACUAGUGUUUAUAAAUACUUCUACCCAAUCAGAAGUCGGAUUCCAAGAACUGGAGUGUCUGCUUCUGGACUAACUCUUCAAGAGAAGACCAUAAACAUACCAACGCAGUGACAGAAACCAUUAGAGCAUGGGUUGGUACCGACGACGUCGAGUAUACAAGCAGUUACCCAUGUUUUUGCACGAACGAUAACGAUGACUCUGUUUAAUGAGGAUGGGAGUACGACUAGUCUAGUUCCUCAUGGAGUUCCUUUUGGAGGAUAAAAACACAAUACGAACGACCCAAGUUUUACUAUUACGUCUUUGUACACGACUUGGGCCACGGUGUUUCUGUCCUGAUAGUCUCAACGGCAACCUACACUAUCUCUUCGACGACUUAGUAUAAAGAACGGCACCACUAACCCGAGCGGAAGCAACACGGUUGUUCAAAACCUUCCGUUUCCAUCUACCACGUUUUUCCGGGUACGUUGACGGUACCGAAUAUAACGGUAGUUGGUGCUUUGGAUGGAUAAUGUCGUGACUACCUGUUCGGCAUGUAGCUGAAGCGGAGGGCCUGUCACAAUCCUCUCGAUUUGCUUAGUGACCUCGUGUACUUCCGCUAACCUAAGAAGACCGACUACUGUGAUUUUGGGAUCAUUUGUUCUAACUCCGACUACUUUUUCUUCGAUAUGAUGUGUCCUUGGCCGAGAUGUUGAACUCGUGACCUGCGCAAUAGGGAGAAGGUGUCGUUUACAGCAGAGUACCCCCUUCUCAACUACAACUUCACUCCCAUCCACGAUAUCGACCGACGGAUCCAAGAGGGUUACCCAAACACCACCAACGAUAACACGCAGGGAAUCUAUCGGGUAAACUCGUACGUCGAAUAACAUUGGUCAGCUACCUUGACACCCUCCUAACGCUCAUAUAGCCUCCAGUGUCCUACCUUCUAUGUCACCCCUUGAUGCACGGUGAACUACUACUCGACGACCUACAUCAGGUGUCCCUACCGAGAAAAAUAGAGAACUGGUUGCUACUUCUUCAACACUUCGACCAGAAACUAGCGUUAGUCUAACACGUCGGUCACAGUCCUGAACCUCAAUACAACGCCCUACUGAAUGGUCGUCUGUCUAAAAACCACCUUGUUCCGGUUGUUUAUACCGCCAUGGAACAAGGUCACGUUUGUCCCGAGGACUACCAUUAGUCUAUGUAACACCCAGCAGCCUGACUCGCUUAUUCUCACAAGUUCGAGCUUCUGUUCCUACUGGUCGAGGCGACCUAACUCGUUCUACUAAAUGGACCAGUGUUUCAUAAGUAGCCAGUACCCACGAGUUCUACAAGACUUCAACCACUACUUCAAGAAUCGCAGAUGAAGAUACUACUGUCUCUCCUCGACUCCUACGGAGUCAUGAUAAAGUCUCUACUAAGUCCCUAACGUUGUUCAAACCUCUAAAAAGGCACCGGUCAAUAGUACCCCCUCAGUGUUUAACUCUCACAGAAGUACCCCCUCAGUGUUUAACUCUCACAGAGGCUUGCGAGAGGUGGGCGAACCACCGACGUGUUCACAGGAUCUC
rnacentral:rRNA from 1 species